rnacentral:lncRNA from 1 species
ACUCUUGGUAGCUUGGCAUGUAAGGGUAUCAACAAAAUUUAUACCUAAGGUCCUUACACUAAAGUAGCAAAGCUACUAUAGCAUAGUGACUCUAGGAUCGAACACUGGGAAGGGUUUUUACUUUAACUGGUGAAGUUCGGAGGAUGGAGUGAACUUUUCUUAAUAAAAAUUAGGUUAAGAUGAAAACAUAAAAAGAUGAAGGUGUUGUAAACUAAACUAACAUGAAAAUAGGUUAAAAGAUGGAAAAAGAAGUUUCUCAAAGCUUUGGAUAGCCAUGCUUAACUCACUGUGUAAAAAUG